CCCAUCAAAGAAACAGUCGCUUUUUUGCUAUCACAGCUGUAAUGCAAUUUCAUGUGCUGUCCUUAAGAUUGGUACACACACUGUGAUUUCUCAUAUACAGCUGUCAGCAAUAACCUUUUGUGGCAGCAGAGAGAAAAAUUCCCUGAAAUACAUAUUUCACUAACAUACACUUGUAGACCUUAAAUCCUGUCUAAGCACAUACAGCUGUGUUUCUCUGAUCUCUGGUGUAGUGGAGAUUUGUGCUUUUUGCUUUCAGGUAGACCAGAAGCAGUCAGUGCACUCUGAGAGAAGGAGCUCUGAGGGACUUUGCAGCUCAGCUUCCAUUCUGCUCACCUGGUGCACCCUCUGCUCUCCUACGUAUGCAGAGAAACAUAUUUUGAAUUCUGAUUGUUGAAAGAAAGAAAACUUUCUGAAAUUUAGUUCACAGAGCUUGCUGGAAUAACGUCCAACACAGCUGAAGGAAGACAGAGAAGGAUAGCCAGGGAGACGUCCCCAAGAGCUUGCCAUUCCCAGGAAGAAAAUGACAUCUCAGUACCUGGGCAUCCCUGACCACAGCACACUCAUCUCUAGUUGAAGUGCAGCUCCACACAGUUGGGUUGGAUGCUCCAAGGAAUACCUCAAGUUCUCCCGUGCCUUCAGGAUAUGGCUGACAGCACUGCACAAAUGUGACUGAGAUCCUGAUAAGCGAGAGAAAUGAUAUGGAUGCAUAAGUUUACCAAAACCAGAAAUAACAGAAUUUUGCUGGAAUGACAGAUGGAACAAAACUUUCGUGAAUAUGGAUGGAGGAUGUUUGGGCACCUAUUACAGUAUGUUAAAUGCCCAGAUGGUGCUGGUGGAUUACUGCUGCCCAUCCAUUCUCCAGGCACUGCACACCUGGGGCCAUUGGGAACAACAAGGCUGUGAGACCACCAGGUCCUUCUGCUGCAUCGUUGCACCUCUCCUGCUCACACUGCACCUGGUUUCCUUGAAAGAGUUAAUGAAGGAAAAGCUUGUCUGGCCAAGGGGCUGGUGUGGCUCCAGGACAGCCGUGACUCAGAGAUAGAGCAUCCUGCCAGAGCACCGGGCAGGCUCCUCAUCCUCAGCUCCUCCUCUCUCAGCACAGCAGUGUGAAUGUGUCCAGCAUCAUGGCUAGGAGGGUUUGUCCUAUACAGCACCUGCUCUUCCCACUCAGCUCCACACUCUUGGCUUGCUUAAGAAACUCCUUACCUCAUGUCUGUGGGUAGGACCUGGUACAUCUGGCUGUAUCGUGUGGGUCGGCGGUGCACAGCCCUUGGUAAUCUCAUUGGGGCUCUCUACAGAACAGAAAAAGGUUAAGAGGAUGAUUUACAAGAGUAAGGAAAAGGCCAAAGGAGGACAGGAACAGACAGACUGGGUGAGUUAUUCAAAGGUUUGACCAGAGUAUGACCAGAUAGGGCUCAAAAAGAAGCGUGGAGCAACGAGAUUUGGUGGCAGUGUCACAACCUGGCCCAUGCUCAAUCACACACAAUCCUCUGUCCCAGGUGCAUGUUAAUAGUUUUGUAUAAAACAGAUGCUUUCCUUCUCCUCAGCCCCUUGCCCUCUGCCCAAUGACCAAUGAGGGGUCCCACAAAGCACAAACAUGAUGGCAGCGGAGGUGCAGCAGAGCAGGGUAGGAUGUGUGGUCCUGGCAAUAAGUAGAACUACACCACUUUGAACCCAGGUUGGCAGAGCAUAAACACGUGGAUUAGCACCAACGCAACAGAUCAGAACCCAAGGAGGAGGGCUCAAACAAGUCGUAAUUUGUAACAACAACAAAACUGCAGGGUUUCAUCACUUCAGCUCCCAACCCUCACACCUCAACCUCGCCGCAAGGAAAACAGCUGUCUCCCUGUUCUCCCACAUCUGCCCUAAACAUCCCGUUGGGGCAGCCAGCCUGGGAAGCACUGCUUGUUGGGUGGAACACCGCUGUCUGGAGCUGUGAGUUGUCAGAGCAAUCACUGUGGGGUGGGGACAAGAAAAGGACACAGUGUUCAAUGCUGGAUCUGUUUGGAGAGUAGAAAAUUGUUCCCGUGCAACCCUUCUUUUGCAGCAGCCAGGCUGCAGGGUGCUGCAUGCACAGAGCUGCAGGUCCAGCUGCGAGUGCCCCAACGUUGCUGUGCUGUUUGGCUGCAGCUGCUGCUGCAUCAGAGGUGACUGCAGAUCGACAAGACAGGGAGACAGCACAACUGUAGGCACCUUCAUCUGCUGCAUGCAUAAUCCUCGGUGCUGAACCCGCUCCAAACUCAUCCCCAGGUCUUAUCUUUUCUAAACUGGGUAUUUAUUCAUGUGGUUGUUUUAUGUAAACUGCAAAGAGCCUCGUUAAAUGGAAACCUUCCCUCGUGAGCUUCAUUAUUAAGGUGGAACGGCACUCGGAACGCGCUGAGCAAAAUCCCUGAGCUUUGGUGUUGCUUGGGGAAGGAAUGCUCGAUGCUGGCAGCCCGGGGCUGAGCCCACCUGUCUCCCCCAUUCAGGAGCAUGCUCUGUUCUGGGAUGAGGCACUGCAAUGGGCACCGUGUGCAGGAAGCCCCUAGGAGAAGCCCUGAAGAACAAAAUGGGGACCUGCCCUGCCCCAGCAGUCCAGCACUGGGCCCUUUGGCUUCUGGAGAAAGAUGGAGCAGCAGUGAGGCUGACCUGGGCUGUAGCUCCAGGCUUGGGUCUGGCUGACAUGGAACUGUGGAAGGGGAUGAGGUUUUGCAGCUAAAAUUUCCCAUUGCUGGAAUGCUGGCCAUGUAAAUCCCAGUGUUUUUGUGGGUCCCUGUUCUCAUUUGUAUUAUAAAUGCUCAUGGCAGAGUUGAUAGCAGAAGACACAUACACAUGGUUAUGGAUGCAUGCAUCAACCUGAGGCUGGAAAUGAAUUGGGCUGUGUGUAUUUUCCCUUCUUUAGCCCAACUGAACUCAAUCCUGCUUUCCCAGGACUGAACGCCAAUAGGAACCACUGCAGAUGAGUUGUUUCCUUUUGGUAACAGACACACACGAUGAAGCAGUGUGAUAUUUGGGGAACGGGCUGAGAGAGCAGAGAGGGACUGGAUGCUCUGGCAGCGCCCAGUGCAUGCUGAGCCCUUUGCAGUGGUCACCCCAGUGCCCCACUGGGAGCCAUGCAUUGCUUCUGCUGCGUUCGGUGCCUCUCAGCCCCCGCAUGCAUCUCCAGCUGAAGGACUCGAGAGCUGAUAGAGCUUUUUAAAGUGGGGAUUAUGUAAAUGCAUAUUAUGGCGCUUUCAUAAACAGGGAUUAUUUGUCGAAUGCUUUCGAGUGCUUCCUUCGCAGCGAUUAAGGUCUGUUGUGUAAAUAGGAAUUUAGUGGCUGCUUAGUCUAAAUUUCAUUGGUUCAAUAAAAGAUGAGAGCAGCACUUUUUUGCA
ensembl:lncRNA